CAUCCUCUAAUUAUAGAUCUGGAAGCAAUGAGUGGUAGUAGGUAUUGAAUAAAAUUGUCAUUGCCUUACAAGAGGACACAUCAUUGAGGUCAUUUAGAAUCUUCAGGUGAAGGAAGACUGAUGUUCUCAAACAGAAAAGAUGGGCUGUUUCUGAUGGAAAUUAAGGAUCAAUGAGGAGACUGUUUUCCAUGGGUCUCUCACAUUUCUGGACAUCUUGCAAAUGAAGGCACUCACUGACUUUAUUUCAAAUUAUCUUUUGAAGGAUGUUUAUAUAGCAAAUGACAGAGAAAAUGUCUCUCUCUAGGGUGAAGACCAGAUAGAAUUACUGCUCAUUUUAAAAGAUUCAGGUACCCUAUGUUUAGAAUUCCUCUCUUGUACCCCACCCCAUUAUGUGUGCAGGUAUUACCCAGACUUCUUUGUAUUAUC
rnacentral:lncRNA from 10 species